rnacentral:rRNA from 1 species
GGGUGAGUAACACGUGGAUAACCUACCUAUAAGACUGGGAUAACUUCGGGAAACCGGAGCUAAUACCGGAUAAUAUUUUGAACCGCAUGGUUCAAAAGUGAAAGACGGUCUUGCUGUCACUUAUAGAUGGAUCCGCGCUGCAUUAGCUAGUUGGUAAGGUAACGGCUUACCAAGGCAACGAUGCAUAGCCGACCUGAGAGGAUGAUCGGCCACACUGGAACUGAGACACGGUCCAG